UUGGGUCCCAGCAGUGGCUGCAGUGCUCUCGUCUUCUGCGGCUCUGUGUGCCCUCUCCUUUUCGCUUCCGGAAACAUGGCCUCUGGUGUGGCUGUCUCUGAUAGUGUCAUCAAGGUGUUCAACGACAUGAAGGUGUGUAAGUCUUCAAUGCCAGAGGAGGUGAAGAAGCGUAAGAAGGCGGUGCUCUUCGGCCUGAGUGAGGACAAGAAGAACAUCAUCCUGGAGGAGGGCAAGGAGAUCCUGGUGGGCGAUGUGGGCCAGACUGUCGACGACCCCUAUGCCACCUUUGUCAAGAUGCUGCCAGAUAAGGAUGGAUUGCCGCUACGCCCUCUGUGACGCAACCUGUGGGACCAAGGAGAGCAAGAAGGAGGACCUGGUGUUUAUCUUCUGGGCCCCUGAGCCUGUGCCCCUUAAGAGCAAAAUGAUCAAUACCAGCUCCAAGGAUGCCAUCAACAAGAAGCUGACAGGGAUCAAGCAAGAAUUACAAGCAAAAUACUAUGAGGAGGUCAAGGACCACUGCACCCUGGCAGAGAAGCUGGGGGCAGUGUGGUCAUCUGCCUGGAAGGCAAGCCUUUGUGAGCCCUUUCUGGCCCCCUGCCAGAUAGGAGGGCUGGGGGCAUCCCAGCAGGGGAAGGGCAGUCCCUUCACCCCAGUUGCCAAACAGACCCCCCACUGCCUGGAUUUUCC